UACGUAGGGUGCAAGCGUUAAUCGGAAUUACUGGGCGUAAAGCGUGCGCAGGCGGUUUUGUAAGUCUGUCGUGAAAUCCCCGGGCUCAACCUGGGAAUUGCGAUGGAGACUGCAAGGCUAGAAUCUGGCAGAGGGGGGUAGAAUUCCACGUGUAGCAGUGAAAUGCGUAGAGAUGUGGAGGAACACCGAUGGCGAAGGCAGCCCCCUGGGUCAAGAUUGACGCUCAUGCACGAAAGCGUGGGGAGCAAACAGGAUUACGAAACCCCGU
rnacentral:rRNA from 1 species